UACAGAGGUCUCAAGCGUUGUUCGGAUUCAUUGGGCGUAAAGGGCGCGUAGGCUGCGGGGCAAGUCGGGUGUGAAAUCUCAGAGCUCAACUCUGAAACUGCACUCGAUACUGCUUUGCUCGAGGACUGGAGAGGAGAUUGGAAUUCACGGUGUAGCAGUGAAAUGCGUAGAUAUCAUGAGGAAGACCAGUGGCGAAGGCGGGUCUCUGGACAGUUCCUGACACUGAGACACGAAGGCCAGGGGAGCAAACGGG
rnacentral:rRNA from 1 species